ACGGGAUAGUGGGGAGACUAUUUUUGUUUUCUGCAGAAGAAGCUGGUGGGGCUUUGGGAUUAAGUUCCUCCCAGAGAUACUGGGCAUGGUGAGGAAAGAUUUUCACGAGUGAAGGCAUCGGCGCUGGAUAGCGUGGCUUGUGCAAAGUUCCUUACCGGCAAGAAGGAUGUGGAAGCCAUAGAAAGGGUGCAGAGGAGAUUUACAAGGUUGUUUCCUGGAUUGGAGAGCAUGCCUUAUGAAAACAGGUUGAGUGAACUUGGACUUUUCUCCUUGGAGCGACGGAGGAUGAAAGGUGACCUGAUAGAGGUGCAUAAGAUGAUGAGAGGCAUUGACUGUGUGGAGAGUCAGAGGCUUUUUCCCAGGGCUGAAAUGGUUGCCACAAGAGGACGCAGGUACAGAGGAGAUGUCAGGGUAUUGCAGGUUCCUAAAACGCCCAGAUGGAAAUCCCACUGCUCCUUGCCGUCCACCGGUUUGUGAUUGAAAGACAGAAGAUUUCUUCCAGCAAAGAUCAAGAAAGACAAGUGCAACAAGAUGAUGGUUGCAAAAGCUGGAUAUGACCAGAGCCACACAUCUAGGCAAAAGAAAUAAGGUGCUAUCUCACCUGAGCUCUUUUAUCUGCAUCAGACUGGUUCAAAGUGUGUUGUUAGUUGUUUGUGCUGAUGAAUAGUUCCAUUUGAAUUAGACUGAGUUGACAGGUUUGCCUUUGAAAGGCAAUUCCUCACCAGUGCAAUCACAUUCUUCCUUCUGGUGUGGUGACCAGAAUUGUACACCGUGUUCCAUUAGUUACCCGUAAUUCCCUUGCUCUCAUAAGGUUAUACCCUAGCACCAUGAUGCUAAGAAUUGUGUAUGCCUUCUUAACCAGCGUAUCAAUCUGUGCUGCUGUCUUAAGAGAUCCUUCAAUAUGUACUCACUUUGACUCACUGCGGACAUACUUCCAUGAAUUUCAGUUCUGAAAGUGAUUUGUUUGCUUUUAUUGUUUGCAUGAUUUUUUUCCCCAGCACAUUGGGUGUUUGAUGGUCUUGUUUAAAUGGUUUCUAAUGUGUUUCUUUGCUUUGUGGCUGCCUGUAAGGGGACAAAUCUCAAGGUUGUAUAUAGUAUACAUACCUUGAUAAUAAAUGCACUUUGA